GGGGAAUAUUGCACAAUGGAGGGAACUCUGAUGCAGCGACGCCGCGUGAACGAAGAAGGCUUUCGAGUCGUAAAGUUCUUUUAUAUGGGAAGAUAAUGACGGUACCAUAAGAAAAAGCCCCGGCUAACUACGUGCCAGCAGCCGCGGUAAUACGUAGGGGGCUAGCGUUGUCCGGAAUCACUGGGCGUAAAGGGUUCGCAGGCGGAAAUGCAAGUCAGAUGUAAAAGGCAGUAGCUUAACUACUGUAAGCAUUUGAAACUGCAUAUCUUGAGAAGAGUAGAGGUAAGUGGAAUUUUUAGUGUAGCGGUGAAAUGCGUAGAUAUUAAAAAGAAUACCGGUGGCGAAGGCGACUUACUGGGCUCAUUCUGACGCUGAGGAACGAAAGCGUGGGUAGCAAA
rnacentral:rRNA from 1 species